CUUUACACAGAUUUAGGUUGAAGCUUCUUUUAAGCAAGAUAAACACCACAGUGACGAUAAAACGCCCUCAGAUGAAGAGGAAGAAACCUUGAGAGGAGACCAGACAAUAUGCUGUAUGGAAGUGGUGGCAUAAGUGAUGGAGAUGGAGAAGGAGGAGGAGGAGGAGGCGCAGACGUCACCUAUACACCCUCCAGAGGGGAGGACUGUGUAUUCUGGCAGAGGAAUGAAAACCCAUCCUCACUGGUGAGUGUACACCACACUCUACUGCUCUGUUCUAAAAUCAACACUGUUACACACUGGAGCCAACAGGCAGAAGGUUCCACUCAUUAACCAAUGGCAUUCUCUUAUUACAACACACACAUUGUUCUCUGCAGACAGAAAGACAGAGAGAGAGAGGGAGAAAGAGAAGGGAAUGAAAUGGCUGCAAGGAAUGUUUUACUCAAAAGUCUACGUACUGGUGCCAGACUGGUAAAAUAAUAAUGUGAUCCAGUAUUUAGAACGACUGGCUUUGGGACUCAGACUGUACUGUACCACUGUGUGAGCAGGGAGGUAGGAGGCAACACAUGUUGAGUGCUCUUGAACACACGCUGGACGUGGGAGCCACUGGACUGCUGGACACUGGACACCGCCUUCACACAGCUCUGGCUCACACAGACGCUUUGGACAGAGCCUGGAACCUACUGGGAGGACAUGAGUAGGACAUGAUGUGAGUUCCAGCUAUUAUUGCUACAGUUUCAGUUCGGUUUGUACAUCUGUCUCAUCUGCAGCAUUUCAUGUGACACUUCCAGCUCCAGUUCCAGCUCCAGACCAUUCUUCUCCUCCAGCAGAUCAGAGGCACACUGUGAAAUGCUGUAAUUAAAUGUCCUUUGUGACUUUUUCCUAACAUGACCUUUAAAUAUAAUGUAUCAUGCAGUUCUGACUGCAAUCUAAUUAUUUCUUGCAUGAUUGAAACAAAGACAUUUCAACAUAUUAUGCAAAUACUUACCCUUAUUAUGUCAUUUUAUCAUUUUUUUAUACUGUAAGCCUUAAACUCAUGAAUUUGAAACUCUGCCAGCUGCAGACAGUAUGCAUGUACUGUACGACCACCUGCAGACAGAGCAGGCAUGUUGCAUUUAUUGUACAACAGAGAAAACUAGACACAACUAAAGAUUAGACACAGGGCAGAUAACACUGCCGUGGCUUCUUGUGUAUUCUGUGACGUCGCACACAGGAUGAUAGUUCUGUGUAAAAACUCAUCUAAUAAAUUAAAAAAAGCUGAUUUAAAGGCCUGACCA
rnacentral:lncRNA from 1 species